rnacentral:tRNA from 1 species
CGCAACCAAAUGGUAGCUCGUCAGGCUCAUAACCUGAAGGCCGCAGGUUCAAAUCCUGCCCCCGCAACCA